UACGUAGGUGGCAAGCGUUGUCCGGAUUUAUUGGGUUUAAAGGGUGCGUAGGCGGUUCUCUAAGUCAGUUGUGAAAUACUUCAGCUUAACUGGAGAGGUGCAAUUGAUACUGGAGAACUUGAGUACUGAUGAGGUAGGCGGAAUGGACGGUGUAGCGGUGAAAUGCGUAGAUAUCAUGAGGAAUACCAGAGGCGAAGGCGGCUACCUGGACAAUUGCUGACGCUCAGGCACGAAAGCGUGGGGAGCAAAAGGG
rnacentral:rRNA from 1 species